GACGAACGCUGGCGGCGUGCUUAACACAUGCAAGUCGAACGAAAAGGCCCUGCUUUUGUGGGGUGCUCGAGUGGCGAACGGGUGAGUAACACGUGAGUAACCUGCCCUUGACUUUGGGAUAACUUCAGGAAACUGGGGCUAAUACCGGAUAGGAGCUCCUGCUGCAUGGUGGGGGUUGGAAAGUUUCGGCGGUUGGGGAUGGACUCGCGGCUUAUCAGCUUGUUGGUGGGGUAGUGGCUUACCAAGGCUUUGACGGGUAGCCGGCCUGAGAGGGUGACCGGCCACAUUGGGACUGAGAUACGGCCCAGACUCCUACGGGAGGCAGCAGUGGGGAAUAUUGCACAAUGGGCGGAAGCCUGAUGCAGCAACGCCGCGUGCGGGAUGACGGCCUUCGGGUUGUAAACCGCUUUCGCCUGUGACGAAGCGUGAGUGACGGUAAUGGGUAAAGAAGCACCGGCUAACUACGU
rnacentral:rRNA from 1 species